AGGGACAUAGCUCAGUGGAAGAGCACUUGCUUUCCAUGCAGUAGUUCCCAAGUUCAGUUCUUGGUGUUUCCU